AGUUACACCAUUUGUGGCACAGGUAAGUUAUAGGUUUAGGAUCUUGUAGUGGUAUGGCCAGGGUAGGGGCAAUAGUUACACCAUUUGUGGCACA